rnacentral:rRNA from 1 species
GGGGCGUUGCGGGGGGCUAUACAUGCAGUCGAGCGACAGACGAGGAGCUUGCUCCUCUGACGUUAGCGGCGGACGGGUGAGUAACACGUGGAUAACCUACCUAUAAGACUGGGAUAACUUCGGGAAACCGGAGCUAAUACCGGAUAAUAUAUUGAACCGCAUGGUUCAAUAGUGAAAGACGGUUUUGCUGUCACUUAUAGAUGGAUCCGCGCCGCAUUAGCUAGUUGGUAAGGUAACGGCUUACCAAGGCAACGAUGCGUAGCCGACCUGAGAGGGUGAUCGGCCACACUGGAACUGAGACACGGUCCAGACUCCUACGGGAGGCAGCAGUAGGGAAUCUUCCGCAAUGGGCGAAAGCCUGACGGAGCAACGCCGCGUGAGUGAUGAAGGUCUUCGGAUCGUAAAACUCUGUUAUUAGGGAAGAACAAAUGUGUAAGUAACUAUGCACGUCUUGACGGUACCUAAUCAGAAAGCCACGGCUAACUACGUGCCAGCAGCCGCGGUAAUACGUAGGUGGCAAGCGUUAUCCGGAAUUAUUGGGCGUAAAGCGCGCGUAGGCGGUUUUUUAAGUCUGAUGUGAAAGCCCACGGCUCAACCGUGGAGGGUCAUUGGAAACUGGAAAACUUGAGUGCAGAAGAGGAAAGUGGAAUUCCAUGUGUAGCGGUGAAAUGCGCAGAGAUAUGGAGGAACACCAGUGGCGAAGGCGACUUUCUGGUCUGUAACUGACGCUGAUGUGCGAAAGCGUGGGGAUCAAACAGGAUUAGAUACCCUGGUAGUCCACGCCGUAACGAUGAGUGCUAAGUGUUAGGGGGUUUCCGCCCCCUUAGUGCUGCAGCUAACGCAUUAAGCACUCCGCCUGGGGGAGUACGACCGCAAGGUUGAAACUCAAGGAAUUGACGGGGACCCGCACAGCGGUGGAGCAUUGGUGGUUUAUUCGAGCACGCGAGAACCUUACCAAUCUUGACAUCUCUGACCCUUCUAGAGUAGAGGUUUCCCCCUUCGGGACAGAGUGACAGGGGGGCAUGUUGCGUCAGCUCGUCUGGAAUGUUAGUUAGUCCCGCACGAGGCAACCCUAAGCUUAAUUGCAUAAUAAGUGGGCACUAAUUGCUGCGUGACACUCGAAAAGGUGAUAU